ACUCGUAAUUUAUGUUUUUAGAGGUAUCACAACUUCAGUUGGGAUUAGUUACUACCUUGCAACCUUUUGGGUUUUAAGCAUCGUUAUAUUCUAAACAGUUAACACUACCAUAUCAUCUCUACUAUAGAGACAAUCAAUUAGAUUACAAUAAUCCAAUCAUUCAUUAAUAAAGAACAAUGUUUUGUCAAACAAAACAUUCAUCCAUCUCUACUAUAGUGACGGAAUUAAGUUCCUUAAAAUUGGAAUGUAAAGACAAUCUUUGGUUUUUCCAAUUUCUUUGGUAGUUCAUAUGAGGAAGUUAGUACAAUCUGCUUUCGCAGAGAUCUUUAUUUUAUUCACGUUUCGAUUGUGAAGUACUUUUCUCUUCUCUCAUUAAUCUUCUACUUCUUAUUAGUCACACUUUUACAACGAUUGUAAAACAUAGUUACUAAU
rnacentral:lncRNA from 1 species